UUUGUGAGAAAGGCAGAAGGACAAUGCAGUGGACGUGGGGCACUGGCCUGUGGCAGUGUGGCCACCCUGGGCUGAGGGCAGCAUCGCCCUGACACGGCCUCCUGCCUUGCCCUGCCAAUGUUUAUUUUGCUUGGGUAAACGUUUGAUUUUAGCAACACGACUGCAAUGUGUGAGUUGUGCUGGGGCUGUAAUUCGAUGGGAGGAGGCAGCUAUGUGCAGGGAGAGCUGCUAAUGCCGAAGGAAUGCUGCGCUUCCUCAGGACCAGAGAAGAUGGCGCCUGGGGCCCCUGGGGACAGCUCGGCUCCUUGGCCCUGCUGUCACCCUGCGCCCGGGAGCUGAGAGCCAAAGUGGGGUCUUUCCUUGCUCAGGGCUCUUGUGGCCCAAAUGGAUGUGAUUUCUGAGGGAAAACUGGGUGUUUCACUUAUUGCAGUGAGGCUCCCACCCAGGGCUGGAGGAGGACUAUGAGGUGCCGUGGGGCUCCUCACCAGGCUGGGUCAGACAGGAAGGAGGCACCCAGUCAAGCUUAGGAAUGGCUUUUAUUCAUGUUUCCAAGGAAAACUGAGGUCUUCUUUCUGCAUGUGCCACAGGGUGACAAUCAGGAUGGCAAGAAGGGGUGUCCUGUCAGGACAGCAAGGUGAGAAUAGGGAGGAGAGGUACUGUCCCUCACCCAGGGAUGUCAGUGAUGGCCUAAGUGGUUUGUAAUUCACAUUUCUUUGCUAAAAUGCUGCUGAUGCUCCAGUUAAGCCAGCAGGCACCAGUGCCAGCUCCCGAGCCUUCUCACCAUGGCAGGGGUGAGGAGAUGACAGCUCCCCACCAAGCAGAUGGCCCUGUUGGAUGGACUUUGUCGCUGGGCUGGCAGCAAAAUGCCUCCUUGGAGAAUUAAAGCUCCAGCUGUGAUGUCACCUUGCCAGAAGUGGCCCCCAGGAGUGACCCCAUUAGUCAUGAGCACACGACCGGGGUGAAGCUGUCACUAAACCUCUAAGGAAAGACUAUCUGAGGCACUGGGUAUUAACAGGUUUUAUUUCCCCCAGCCACCCUUCUCAGCACUCAGUCUUCAUACCAGUAGCCAGGGGAUUUAAGUGAAGGAGAUGAGAUGCAGAGCUGGAGGGAUUUAGGAGAUUCGAGCUGUCCAUUGGGCCUCAGAUUUAUUCAACCCCCUUCAUAAACUCCAGGAACUCUGCCAAGGGGAAGACAUUGGAGAGAAGAGGUGUGAGGUGAGACCGAAGUGCUCUCGCAGCUGUCAAGUGCGCUCUUGGCAGUUUUCCCCAGCCCUGUCUCCUUUUCCAACCCCACAACGUGCAAGAGGCCGAGGGUGGAUGGCUACUGCUCCUCUGACUGUGGCGAGGACUCCUCGUGACUCCUGCUGGAAAUGUCACUGGAGCCCUGCAUCACCCUCGGCUGCCACCAAAACACUGGAGGUACUGCUUAUCUAAAAUUGCUGACCUCACCACCGUGUCCAACUGCCCCUUUUACAGCAUCCAUGAAAACACUGACCCUUCCUAUGCUGGUCAACAGCCUCUCUGGAGCCAGCCAGGGACAGGUUUCUCUGGCUGAAGUGGGGGAAGGCAAGCUCUGAGCUCGGAGGUCACAGCGCUGCAGCAGCCGUGGUAACACCAAAUCUGCUGUAUUUUGCUUUUAUCAGCUCUCCUCUCCAUCUAUCCCAUGGUUCCAUUGACGUCACAUAGGGGAAAUUGAAAUUCUUCAGUUUUUUUUCCAGGUAAAUGUUUUCUUAUAGUUAAAACUGCGGGAAAUAGAUCCACAAAAAUGCUGUUUGUCUCAGCUGUGCCUAGCUUGGACUUGUUUGGCCUCUGUAAAGGUGCUGGCAGUAAAUGCCCAGGACUCAAGCCUCACAUUUACCUAAUUAUGGGCAUGUGGUCCCUGUACAAUGAGGAGAGGGCCGGUGCCUUGAGUCACAGAGAACGUAUUUAAUUAAAAACCUUCAUUAGAAAGGCCUGGAUUUUCUUUGAUUUUACAGGUUCCAUUUUCCUCCCUUUUGGAGGUGUUGGUUGAGGGACUCAGCCUUCCCUGAGCCUUUUCACACUGUCAGGAUCACUACGGGGGUUCCAUUUAACGAGGUUCAGGGCUGAUCAAAGGACAAGAAAGGUGUGAGCAUUGAGGGAUUUUUUCUUUAACUACCUACCGAGUGCUAUAUUCCUUCCCUCUAAAAACCCCGUAAUUAAAAUAGGACUUGUAUGAUGUAUUUUUUUGUGCGCUUGGUUAAAAUCAAAGCUGGUCAACUACAAAUUAAAAAAAAAAAUUUAAAAAGGCACCAAAAAGCUCUUACUGUAACUCCAGUUAUGGAAGGGAUGCAGUAGCAAUCCACACAAUCCGGAAUCUAUUUUCAUCCUUAUUCCACACGCACAUCACUGUCUGUCUACGUUACGGAAUAAUGCAGUGUUCGUAUUACAGACCAAAUAGUUUGGGUUUACACAGAGAGUGCAGCAUGCAGCUGUGGAAGUUAAAAUAGCCAUGAGGAUGCUCCACGUUCCCCAGUGCAUAGCUCACAUUCUGGAUCCUGCACAGCAGAUAGCAGGAGCAGCAAAGCUGAGGAGAAGGAAACUGGGACUCAUUUCACUCAACCAGCAAGAUGACCCGUCCCCACUGCAAAUGGCUAAAAUCCACACUCCUGGAUUUACCGUGGAUUUACCCCUCCACGGUGGAAAGCAAAACACACCAAAAACCUCCAAGUGAUGAGCAGCGUUUUCUUAGUCCAGGAAAAAGCGAUUUAAUCCAGCAACCGAAGUCAAACCUCUCCUUUUAGUGAUUCAGGACUCCCUCUUGUGUCCAGAGGGGCUAUGGAUGGCUCUGGCACCUCAGGAUACAAAGUCCCACCUCCAGUUGGCUCACACCAGCGUUAGUUAGCAAAACAGAAAAUAAUACUGGUGCAGCUGUUAGGUUUCAUCCUUUCUAAAAUCCCUUCUCCGUUUAAGAGGAAUCAUACUGCGUGGAAAAACCUGCUGUCCCUGUGGAAUGCCCAGCCAAAGCAGCGUUAAUCAGGGACCCUGCUGGUGUCAGCACAAAGUGAGGACAUGGCUGAGCACAGAGCUGUCCCCACACUACAUCCACCCAGGUUUUGAGUCCUGAAGGAUUAACUUGUUAGGAACUGUGGUCCUGCGGGUACCCACUGGCCUUGAUUUACACAGCUUCAGCCCAGAUCUGCCUCCAGAUGGAAUAGCAAGGAAAAUAGUUGCAUUUAAGGAAUUAAUUUUUGAAGCAGUUAGUCUUGAGAGUUGGAACCUGUUAAUAUUUUGGUUGCCUUGAACACAGAAAAAGCAGGAAAAGCUGCAAAGGGAAGUAGUUAUUUUGUUAAAGGACAUUGGAGCCUGUCCUUAGGUGAGAUCACAGGAUGGGAUGAAGGACCUGCUGUCAUCCACAAUUAAACCAUCCCACAGAACCUCCUGGGCAACCUCAGAGACCUUCCCAGUGAAGUGCUGCCCCAAAGCAAACCCGUGCCCCUGGUUACUUUCUCCCCUCAGGAUCCACUGCAAGUACCAGCACUGGGCAGUACAAGUGUGAGGAAUCACGCCUGGCCCUGUCCCUCCACCCUGGGAGGUGAUGGCUCUGAGUCACCCCUCUGAAAACAGCCCCUGGGAUGCGUCAGAAUGUAUCCAAGGCCAAUGCAGAGCAGGAAUGGGAGCACUAACAUGGCCUUUAAAAGGUUGUGGCUGCGCUGCUGGAUGAAAUUCAGGUUGGGAUGUGGAAGAAGAAUCUCUGCUUAGAGGAAAUCUGGGCCACUGCCACCAUACACACUGACGUGGGAUGGCUGCACUUCUGCAAACGUCUGAUACGAACAGGGACUUACAAAACAGAGCUGUGCCUGGAGGGAAAGGAUGAAAUCCAUCUGGCGACAGGAGAUGAUGUUCCUCCCAGGGAAUGAGGCACAAGCGAGGGGCAUCAUGCCAACCACUGCCUCCCCGCCUGCUGCUUGGAGACAAAGCUUCCAGCAUCCCCUGUCUCUUUGAAGUUCUUUGCUUACAAAAGAAUUGGGGUUUUGUAGAGAAACCCAGAGCCUCUGCCAUGCACAGGGCAGGGGGAGGCUGCUACAGGUAUGGAGUGUCCUGGGGAUAACCAUCCACUCCUGCUACUUCUCUUGCCUCUCCGUGUGAGACCCAGGGCAGAGAUGGAGCGUGGCUAUCUAUAGCCUGGGGAGGGCUGCCAGCUCAAGUGCCCUUAAUCCGGGCAUGGCUGGCUUGGUGGCACGCCAGCUGUCACUGUGGUCAGGUACAACAUGUCAGCUUGGGCUCCAGCUGCACCCUGACACGCUGCCACACUUGUCAGUCAGUCCAAGGUACCAAGACAAACAGAAGGUUUUACCGUGCUUUUUUCCUCCAAAAUCUCAGAUUAGGUUUGCAUUUCCAAACAGCUGUAAUCCAGGGCAAAACUCGCAGAGGCAUCCUUCAGUUCAAAUGCAGGGAAAUACAAAGCAGAAGCCCAACUAAGAUGCAAUUUUGUUUGGGGUCAGGGCUGUUUGCAAGGCUCCUUGGUUUCUGUUGUAGUUCCAAACUGCAGCAAAACUCUCCAGCAUCCCUCUUCCCUGCAUCAGGCACUGGCCCUAGGAGAGGCCAGACCCACCACCAUUGAAGUUCUUUAAUUCACUGCUUUCUAAAUUCACCUCAGAGACCUUUUGCCGAACAAGCCCCCAUUUGCCCCCUUUCAUCUUCUCUGUGAGCCAAGACAGGGCUGUCACACCAGGAGCCACCUCUGUGCCCGCAGGCGGGAACUGCUUUAGGAGGAGGAGAAGGGAACUGAUCGCAACCGACAGGCGCGCCAGUGCUGCAAAUUGUUGUUUAAUUAAGGAGACGGGACAUUGAGAGGAAGCUUAAUUAAAGUUGCUCUCCAAACCCACUUAUUAUCUCAUGAAGAGGCUGAGCUCAGCAGCAGCUCCUGAUGCUGGGACAGCAACAGAAAAUCCCUCUUGGUUUGCCUGCACUACACGUGUUUUCUCCUGGCACGCAUCAUCCUUCAGCUACAUCCUGACCAACAGAAAGCAU